rnacentral:rRNA from 1 species
AUGGGUUAUCUCUGUAAAGCGAAGGUUCAAGCCCUGAUGCAGAAUUAUCAAAGUGCUAUGGCAACAUACAUAGAGGGUUUGAAGCGUGAUCCAAACAGUACUAUCAUAAUUGAUGGCUUUAAGAGAUGUGUGACAUGCAUUGAGAAGUCUAAAGGCGGUGACGUUGGGAGUGUGGAUUUAGAAGACAUUUUGAGAGAUUGGCAUUCAGUCAUUUAUUUGUCUAAUGAACUUCAAAAGUACAUGGAAGAAGUUGCGGUAUUGAAGAAAGAAGCUUCUGAUGAGCGCUUGAGGCGGAUGGAAUCUGAACAAACAGCCAGGACAUCAGAGGCAAACCACCUGCAACGACAGAAAGAAACCGAGGAGCAUCUUUCCAAAAUACAACAAGAGUUGCAACAGGUUAAAGCACGACAGGAUGAGGUUGCUAAUGAGCUACAGAAAGCUAAUAAGCAUAAUGAACAUGCUCAAAAUCAGCUUUUGGAAUCGAAAAAGUUCCAUAGUGAGGAACUUCAGAAGGCCAGUGAGCAUAGUUUGAAUCUGCAACAUCAGCUCACUGAAUCCAAAGAGCGGUAUAAUCAGCUUCAGUCCAAGCAUGACGUCUUGCUAAAGGAACGAGAUGCUGCACUCGAAGAGGUAGAAAAGUUACGCCGGAGAAGUGCAGCGAUGCCCUGCCAGUUUUCAUUAGCUGAACUAGAACGUGCAACUGAAAAUUUCAGUACUUCAACGAAGUUCAGAGAAUGUGGGGUUGCCUCUGUGUACCGAGGUGUCCUCCGGAACAUGAAAGUUGCAAUAAAGGUGCUGAGACACGAUGGUCAAGGACGCUCACAGUUUGAACAAGAGGUUGCUAUCCAUAGCAGAGUGAGACACCCCAACCUUGCAACUCUUCUAGGAGCAUGCAAAGAGUGA